AUCGCUUCUUGGCCUUUUGGCUAAGAUCAAGUGUAGUAUCUGUUCUUAUCAGUGAAUUUCUUAGAAAUUCAAAAUUUACUAAGUUGAUGUUGAUAUGCUUAUGUUAAUAUCUUAAACUCUUAAGAUUACCAGGA
ensembl:snRNA U2 U2 spliceosomal RNA